AGUGGCGGACGGGUGAGUAACGCGUGAGGAUCUGCCCUUAGGUUGGGGAUAACAGUUGGAAACGACUGCUAAUACCCAAUGUGCCGAGAGGUGAAAGGUUUACUGCCUGAGGAUGAGCUCGCGUCCGAUUAGCUAGUUGGUGGGGUAAUGGCGUACCAAGGCGACGAUCGGUAGCUGGUCUGAGAGGAUGAUCAGCCACACUGGGACUGAGACACGGCCCAGACUCCUACGGGAGGCAGCAGUGGGGAAUUUUCCGCAAUGGGCGAAAGCCUGACGGAGCAAGACCGCGUGCGGGAGGACGGCCUGUGGGUUGUAAACCGCUUUUGACAGGGAAGAAGCUCUGACGGUACCUGUCGAAUCAGCAUCGGCUAACUCCGUGCCAGCAGCCGCGGUAASACGGAGGAUGCAAGCGUUAUCCGGAAUUAUUGGGCGUAAAGCGUCCGUAGGUGGUUWAGUAAGUCUGCUGUUAAAGCGUGGAGCUUAACUCCAUAUCGGCRGUGGAAACUACUUGACUUGAGUGCGGUAGGGGUCRGGGGAAUUCCCAGUGUAGCGGUGAAAUKCGUAGAUAUUSGGAAGAACACCGGUGGCGAAGGCGMCYYACYGGSMCAUUWCUGACGCUGAGGUGCGAAAGCGUGGGGAGCGAAAGGGAUUAGAUACCCCUGUAGUCCUAGCCGUAAACGAUG
rnacentral:rRNA from 1 species